CUCGCUGCUGCCACCUGCUGCUCGCUGCUGCCACCUGCUGCUCGCUGCUGCCACCUGCUGCUCGCCGCUGCCACCUGCGGCCACAUUCGCUUCUCUGCGACACGACUCACAAUGGGAGGGACGCAAUCCCGCCUCACCAUUUCCUGGAUGACUGAAAACUAGGCGAAAGGUGGUUGGCUUUAGUAGGGAUAGAUACAGAGUAAAAGUGCUCGUAUACUGCCCCGUCAAUAAUGUGGAGAGCUGCAGAGCAACGUUGCUUCAAGCUGAAUGCACAGUCGAGGACAUCCACAAUAUAAAGUGGACAAUAAGCAACGGGUCGACGUUGAAGUAUAAACCUCCUGGAAGCAGAACAGUAAAAGGUUGCAAAAAUACCCCCGGGCUGCUUGUCUUUGACGGGUGGAAGAAGGAAGAAUUAGGAGGGAAUUGAUGGACCUGUGAAGGGAAUAGGCUGAUGGAAAUGUGCGGAGUAAUCCUGGUGGAAUGCUUCACGAUGCUGGUCUGCUGAAUGACCCCUCUCUAUCUGGCCCUGGCACUCCAGCACAGACAGACAGACUCACUGGCCCACAAUGAAUGCCUUUAUCUGCCCUGAUAUCAGUGCCUUGCAGAGGGAUGUCAGUUCACCC